AGAGUUUGAUCAUGGCUCAGAUUGAACGCUGGCGGCAGGCCUAACACAUGCAAGUCGAACGGUAACAGGAAGAAGCUUGCUUCUUUGCUGACGAGUGGCGGACGGGUGAGUAAUGUCUGGGAAACUGCCUGAUGGAGGGGGAUAACUACUGGAAACGGUAGCUAAUACCGCAUAACGUCGCAAGACCAAAGAGGGGGGCCUUCGGGCCUCUUGCCAUCGGAUGUGCCCAGAUGGGAUUAGCUAGUAGGUGGGGUAACGGCUCACCUAGGCGACGAUCCCUAGCUGGUCUGAGAGGAUGACCAGCCACACUGGAACUGAGACACGGUCCAGACUCCUACGGGAGGCAGCAGUGGGGAAUAUUGCACAUGGGCGCAAGCCUGAUGCAGCCAUGCCGCGUGUAUGAAGAAGGCCUUCGGGUUGUAAAGUACUUUCAGCGGGGAGGAAGGGAGUAAAGUUAAUACCUUUGCUCAUUGACGUUACCCGCAGAAGAAGCACCGGCUAACUCCGUGCCAGCAGCCGCGGUAAUACGGAGGGUGCAAGCGUUAAUCGGAAUUACUGGGCGUAAAGCGCACGCAGGCGGUUUGUUAAGUCAGAUGUGAAAUCCCCGGGCUCAACCUGGGAACUGCAUCUGAUACUGGCAAGCUUGAGUCUCGUAGAGGGGGGUAGAAUUCCAGGUGUAGCGGUGAAAUGCGUAGAGAUCUGGAGGAAUACCGGUGGCGAAGGCGGCCCCCUGGACGAAGACUGACGCUCAGGUGCGAAAGCGUGGGGAGCAAACAGGAUUAGAUACCCUGGUAGUCCACGCCGUAAACGAUGUCGACUUGGAGGUUGUGCCCUUGAGGCGUGGCUUCCGGAGCUAACGCGUUAAGUCGACCGCCUGGGGAGUACGGCCGCAAGGUUAAAACUCAAAUGAAUUGACGGGGGCCCGCACAAGCGGUGGAGCAUGUGGUUUAAUUCGAUGCAACGCGAAGAACCUUACCUGGUCUUGACAUCCACGGAAGUUUUCAGAGAUGAGAAUGUGCCUUCGGGAACCGUGAGACAGGUGCUGCAUGGCUGUCGUCAGCUCGUGUUGUGAAGUGUUGGGUUAAGUCCCGCAACGAGCGCAACCCUUAUCCUUUGUUGCCAGCGGUCCGGCCGGGAACUCAAAGGAGACUGCCAGUGAUAAACUGGAGGAAGGUGGGGAUGACGUCAAGUCAUCAUGCCCCUUACGACCAGGGCUACACACGUGCUACAAUGGCGCAUACAAAGAGAAGCGACCUCGCGAGAGCAAGCGGACCUCAUAAAGUGCGUCGUAGUCCGGAUUGGAGUCUGCAACUCGACUCCAUGAAGUCGGAAUCGCUAGUAAUCGUGGAUCAGAAUGCCACGGUGAAUACGUUCCCGGGCCUUGUACACU
rnacentral:rRNA from 1 species